rnacentral:rRNA from 1 species
CAUGCAAGUCGAACGGAAGUUUAAGCAAUUAAACUUUAGUGGCGAACGGGUGAGUAACGCGUAAGCAAUCUGCCCCUAAGACGGGGAUAACAGUUGGAAACGACUGCUAAGACUGGAUAGGAGACAAGAGGGCAUCUUCUUGUUUUUAAAAGACCUAGCAAUAGGUAUGCUUAGGGAGGAGCUUGCGUCACAUUAGUUAGUUGGUGGGGUAAAGGCCUACCAAGACUAUGAUGUGUAGCCGGGCUGAGAGGUUGAACGGCCACAUUGGGACUGAGACACGGCCCAAACUCCUACGGGAGGCAGCAGUAGGGAAUUUUCGGCAAUGGAGGAAACUCUGACCGAGCAACGCCGCGUGAACGAUGAAGUAUUUCGGUACGUAAAGUUCUUUUAUUAGGGAAGAAUAAAUGAUGGAAAAAUCAUUCUGACGGUACCUAAUGAAUAAGCCCCGGCUAACUAUGUGCCAGCAGCCGCGGUAAUACAUAGGGGGCAAGCGUUAUCCGGAAUUAUUGGGCGUAAAGGGUGCGUAGGCGGUUAAAUAAGUUUAUGGUCUAAGUGCAAUGCUCAACAUUGUGAUGCUAUAAAAACUGUUUAGCUAGAGUAAGAUAGAGGCAAGUGGAAUUCCAUGUGUAGUGGUAAAAUGCGUAAAUAUAUGGAGGAACACCAGUAGCGAAGGCGGCUUGCUGGGUCUUUACUGACGCUGAGGCACGAAAGCGUGGGGAGCAAACAGGAUUAGAUACCCUGGUAGUCCACGCCGUAAACGAUGAGUACUAAACGUUGGGUAAAACCAGUGUUGAAGUUAACACAUUAAGUACUCCGCCUGAGUAGUACGUACGCAAGUAUGAAACUUAAAGGAAUUGACGGGACUCCGCACAAGCGGUGGAUCAUGUUGUUUAAUUCGAAGGUACCCGAAAAACCUCACCAGGUCUUGACAUGCUUCUGCAAAGCUGUAGAAACACAGUGGAGGUUAUCAGUUGCACAGGUGGUGCAUGGUUGUCGUCAGCUCGUGUCGUGAGAUGUUGGGUUAAGUCCCGCAACGAGCGCAACCCUUAUUGUUAGUUACCAGCACGUAAUGGUGGGGACUUUAGCAAGACUGCCAGUGAUAAAUUGGAGGAAGGUGGGGACGACGUCAAAUCAUCAUGCCCCUUAUGACCUGGGCUACAAACGUGAUACAAUGGCUGUUACAAAGGGUAGCUGAAGCGCAAGUUUUUGGCGAAUCUCAAAAAAACAGUCUCAGUUCGGAUUGAAGUCUGCAACUCGACUUCAUGAAGUUGGAAUCGCUAGUAAUCGCGAAUCAGCAUGUCGCGGUGAAUACGUUCUCGGGGUUUGUACACACCGCCCGUCAAACCACGAAAGUUGGUAAUACCCAAAGCCGGUGGCCUAACUUCGCAAGAAGAGGGAACCGUCUAAGGUAGGGUCGAUGAUUGGGGUUAAG